CGGGGAGACCGCGUUUAGAGGAUCAGUGGCGGCGGCACCCGCGGCCCCGCGCGGCGCGGACGGCGGGCAGCACCGUGCCUGGGCCCCCUCCUGCUCCGCUCUCAAUCUGGGGCAUGACUUUGAAGGGAAGGUUGCUAAGCCUCCUAAAUCCCGAUACACACCAAUGCCGUUUCCCCACUCAUCUGGAAACCUGGUGGGUCCUGCCCAAACGCCUGUAUGUCAAUUCCACCUCCUGCUUGGCGACCCACCAUGCCCACAUUUUCCACUCAAGCCUUUCAGAUCUGCUUUGGGCACCUGAAGACAGAGAGAAUCAUCUUUCAAGAGUCAGAAACUUUGCACGUGCCAUUCCCUCUGCUUAGAAUGCUUUUCCCUUUCUCCCAAUUGCCUUAUCAUCAGCCUGGGAAAAUAUUUAUUUCGGCUCCUAAAAUCUCAGAUAUCACUUCUCCAGGAGCUUUCCCAGAUGCCUCACUUGAUUCCAGAAGGAGCUAUCGCCACUUUUGCCUGGCGAGUACGUUUUCACCGUUACACUUAUACGCUAUGGCAAUUUAUUGGUGAUUUGUCUGUCUCCCCUACUCAAUAGUGAAUUAUUCAUCUAUCCCUGGAAACCUGGAACUGCUCAAUAAAUGUAUGUGGCAUGAAUAUAAAAAAAAAAAAAAAAAAA
rnacentral:lncRNA from 1 species